AGUGAACGCUGGCGGUAGGCCUAACACAUGCAAGUCGAACGGCAGCACAGUAAGAGCUUGCUCUUACGGGUGGCGAGUGGCGGACGGGUGAGGAAUACAUCGGAAUCUACUUUUUCGUGGGGGAUAACGUAGGGAAACUUACGCUAAUACCGCAUACGACCUACGGGUGAAAGCAGGGGAUCUUCGGACCUUGCGCGAUUGAAUGAGCCGAUGUCGGAUUAGCUGGUUGGCGGGGUAAAGGCCAACCAAGGCGACGAUCCGUAGCUGGUCUGAGAGGAUGAUCAGCCACACUGGAACUGAGACACGGUCCAGACUCCUACGGGAGGCAGCAGUGGGGAAUAUUGGACAAUGGGCGCAAGCCUGAUCCAGCCAUACCGCGUGGGUGAAGAAGGCCUUCGGGUUGUAAAGCCCUUUUGUUCGGAAAGAAAAGCAGCAGGUUAAUACCCCGCUGUUCUGACGGUACCCAAAGAAUAAGCACCGGCUAACUUCGUG
rnacentral:rRNA from 1 species